UCCCCACCGCACUUGUGUGGAUUCCUCGC
rnacentral:piRNA from 1 species